rnacentral:snoRNA from 1 species
CGGACCAACGAUGAUGAUGUAUUAUGAAGGAAAGAUUACAAUAUCCAAUUCUGUUCAACUGAGGUCUGUU